GACGAACGCUGGCGGCGUGCUUAACACAUGCAAGUCGAACGAUGAACCCGGAGCUUGCUCCGGCGGAUUAGUGGCGAACGGGUGAGUAACACGUGAGUAACCUGCCCUUGACUCUGGGAUAACUGCUAGAAAUGGUAGCUAAUACCGGAUACGACCCUCGGUGGCAUUACAAGGGGGUGGAAAGAAUUUAGGUCAAGGAUGGACUCGCGGCAUAUCAGCUAGUUGGUCAGGUAACGGCUCACCAAGGCGACGACGGGUAGCCGGCCUGGGAGGGUGACCGGCCACGCUGGGACUGAGACACGGCCCAGACUCCUACGGGAGGCAGCGGUGGGGAAAAUUGCUCAAUGGGCGCAAGCCUGAUGCAGCAACGCCGCGUGGGGGAUGACGGCCUUCGGGUUGUAAACCUCUUUUAGUAGGGAAAAAGCGAAAGUGACGGUACCUGCAGAAAAAGCACCGGCUAACUACGUGCCAGCAGCCGCCGCAG
rnacentral:rRNA from 1 species